rnacentral:pre_miRNA from 13 species
GUACACCCCAGAGGAGUGGCUCCAGAGAACACAGGGGGUUGGUUUUCUAGCUGUAAGCUACAAGAUGGACAAAGCACUCUGUGUUCUCAGGUCACCCCUUUGGGGCACCC